rnacentral:rRNA from 1 species
AUUGAACGCUGGCGGCAGGCCUAACACAUGCAAGUCGAGCGGAGCGGCGGACGGGUGAGUAAUGCCUAGGAAUCUGCCUGGUAGUGGGGGAUAACGUCCGGAAACGGGCGCUAAUACCGCAUACUAUCAGAUGAGCCUCGGUCGGAUUAGCUAGUGGGAGGGGAAAAGGCCUACCAAGGCGACGAUGCGUAACUGGUCUUAGAGGAGGAUCAGGCACACUGGAACUGAGACACGGUCCAGACUGCUACGGGAGGCAGCAGUGGGGAAUAUUGGACACUGGGCGAAAGCCUGAUCCAGCCAGGCAGGGUGUGUGAAGAAGGUCUUCGGAUUGUAAAGCACUUUAAGUUGGGAGGCGUUACCCACAGAAUAAGCACCGGCUAACUUCGUGCCAGCAGCCGCGGUAAGUC